UACAGAGGUCUCAAGCGUUUGUUCGGAUUCAUUGGGCGUAAAGGGUGCGUAGGCGGCGCGGUAAGUCGGGUGUGAAAUCUCGGAGCUUAACUCCGAACUGCGUUCGAUACUGCCGUGCUUGAGGACUGGAGAGGAGACUGGAAUUCGAUGGUGUAGCAGUGAAAUGCGUAGAGAUCAUGAGGAAGACCAGUGGCGAAGGCGGGUCUCUGGACAGUUCCUGACACUGAGACACGAAGGCCAGGGGAGCAAACGGG
rnacentral:rRNA from 1 species